UAGCAUGAGCGUUUGUUGUAGAU
rnacentral:miRNA from 1 species